CACGUAGGGGGCGAGCGUUGUCCGGAUUUAUUGGGCGUAAAGAGCUCGUAGGCGGCUCAGUAAGUCAGGUGUGAAAACUCCAGGCUCAACCUGGAGACGCCACUUGAUACUGCUGUGGCUAGAGUCCGGUAGGGGAGCAUGGAAUUCCCGGUGUAGCGGUGAAAUGCGCAGAUAUCGGGAGGAACACCAGUGGCGAAGGCGGCACUCUGGGCCGGUACUGACGCUGAGGAGCGAAAGCGUGGGGAGCGAACAGG
rnacentral:rRNA from 1 species